UGUGACUCUCAUCCAAUAUUAAAUACAUAAGUAAUUAGUAUAUACCAAAAAAAGUACCAUAUAAAUCUACCAAUUAAAUACUUUAAGAAACAUCACACUUACUUAUUACAUACAAAAACAAAUAAAUAUACUACAAAUUUAUUUAUUAAAUACUUAAACAUAACUCCUACUUAGCAGGUACUAAAAAAUAAACACACGAUUUUUGUUUUGUCACGAUAGUUAUUUAAUUAUGGUAUGGUGUCUAUGGUCACUCCAUAACUAUGGUUAAAGUUUUAUAAAUUUCUUUAGUUGGAAGAAGUUCAUAUAAAUUUGGGAUUUACAUCUAUGUUUACUGUGUAAAGAGAAGAAGAAGAACGACGAAGGAAAGGAAGAGAAGAAAAUAUGGCUCGGCUCAUGGCCAUUAGGGUUUAUAGCAAGAAGAAAGAAGAAGAAAAUAGUUUUCACAAACCCUAAAGGGGCCGCCCUAAGUGAUUUUUAGAGAGAGAAAAGAAAGAACUCUAAUGGAAGAGGCCUUAACUGAUUUUUAGAGAGAGAAAAGGAAGAUGGGAUGCUGAUUUAAGAAGAUGAAAAGCUGAUUUGGGAUAGUUUGAAAAGGGUUUUUCUCUCUGAUUUGGGAUAGUUUGAAGAGGGCUUUUCAUUUUCUUGAGGAAACAGAGCUGAAGGAUUAAGUUUGGGGAACUAAUCCUAUAUGUACAAUUGCUUGCUCCUGUAAGUUUACAGUUUACACAAUCAACAUUAAAAUAUUGAUUACUUGGUCCUGUAGUCACACUCUCUGCUUCUUAUUUAUCAGUAAAAAAUUAUGCUUUGAGCUUUAAUUUGUGCCAUUAACAGUAUUUUCAUAAAAGUAAAUAUUAAUAUACUGUAUAUAUACAGUUAUGUACUUUAUAUAUACACAAACAUCACACACACAUCAAUAUAUUUUUCACACACUAGUAAUUGUAUAUAUAGCCAAUAACUAAUGUAUUCUAUGCUUAUAUACAUCAAUACAUAAACAUAUAGAGCUGAUAACUGUAUAUAUCACUGAUAAUAAGUAUAUACAUGGCCUUAUACAUUAGUGUAUAUAUAAACCCAUUCCUAUACAUUAGUGUGAGUGUGAGUGUGAGAGUGAGUGUGAGUGUGAGUGUGAGUGUGAGUGUGUGUGUGUGUGGUGCAUGUGUGUGUGUAAAGAAAAAGUUCCUUAAUAAAAUUGCAAAAACACAAGUAAAGCUCCAAAAAAUUAACUCCAUAUUUGCAUGAAAGAAGCAAGAAUGUGUGUGUGUUAAGAAAAAGUUACUUAAUAAAAUUGCAAGCCACACGUAAAGCUCUAGAAAAUUCACACUAUAUUUUCAUGAAAGAAGCAAGAGCAAUACUAUAAUAGAGAAGAAAGAACCAUCAAGCAAAUCAAGCUUGCAAUAUCAAGAUCUCAAAUAUCAAAAAAUGUAAAGAGAUCCGCCUCUAUGAUAAGUUGCUUUCGUGCUUGUUGAUUUACAAGAAAACUCAAUGAAGAUGAAGCUCAUCAAUAAUAAUAAAAAACAAGUACAAAUAAGAUAAAAAAUUUACAUGGACUAUCACAAUAGGGUAUUCAACAUACCCAAUUCAUCAAGAGAAGAAACCCAUUCUUAUGCCUAAUUUUAUACAAAGUAAUAAGGAAUUUCGCAAUUGUAUAUCUGAUUACAAGCGAUAGUAUAUAUAUUUGUGAGUGUGAGUGUGAGUGUGAGUGUGAGUGUUUAUAAGUGUCAGUGUCAGUGUGAGUGCGAGUAAGAGUGAGAGUGAGAGUGAGAGUGAGAGUGAGAGUGAGAGUACGAGUGCGAGUGUGAGUGUGAGUGUGAGUGUGAGUGUGAUUGUGAAGGUGAGGGUGAGAGUUAGUGUGACUGUGAGUGUGUGUAGUAUAUAAAUCUGUGUACAUAUACGUUAAUAAAGGUAUAUAGUAAUAAUAAGUGUAUAUAUGGUCAUAUACAUCAACGUAUAUAUUAAUGUAUUGUAUAUAUAUAGUUAUGCACUUUACACAUACACACAAAUCCGUAUAUACACAUCAUAUACAUAUAGACAUCACACACACACAUAUCAAUGUAUUUUUACAUUCUAAUAAUUGUAUAUAUAGCUUAUAACUAAUGUAUUAUAUGGUUAUAUGCAUCAGUAUAUAUAUAUAUAUGUACUCUGCAAAGAAUGGUAUCUAUUGAUAUACAUCAAUACGUACACAAAUUGAGCUAAUAAUUAUGUAUAUCAUUGAUAAUAAGUACACAUAUAGUCUUAUAUAUUAGUGUAUAUAUAAACCCAAUACAGAUAUGCACAUGAGUGUGAGUAUAUACAUAUCAGUGUACAUAAAUACCAAUAACUGUAUAAACUGAUAAGAAGUGUCCAUAAGGUCAUACAUAUAAGUGAAUAUAGAAAUGUAUGUAUGCCCUAUCAAUGCGCAAGGGUGCAUGUGCAGGCGCAUAUCAAUGUAUAUAUAAUUGAUAGGAAGUUUAUACAUACACGUAAAAACAUAUUACUAUAUGCAUAUCGUAUAUAUGCACACUAUGUAUAUAUAUGUAAAGUGCUAAUAAAUGUCUAUAUGGUCAUAUAUUUCUGUAUAUAGUAUGUAUGUAUUAGUGUAAACAUAUACAGUACAUACGCACUUAUCAAUGCGUAAGGGUGCAUGUGCGUGCACGUAUCAUUAUAUACAUACAUUGAUAAUUGUAUAUAACUGAAAGCAAACAACUAUAUACAUACAUGCAUAAACACAUCAUAGUAUAUAUACCCACAUCAGUCUAUACACAACAUGCGUAUAAGUGUACUAUAUAUCUGAGUGUGAAUGUGAGCAUGAGCGUAAAUGUGUGAGAGUGAGCGUGUGUGAGUGUAUGAGUAUGUGUGUGUGAGUGUGAGUGUGUGUGAGUGUGUGUUCGUGUGAGUGUGAGUGUGUGUGAGUGUGAGUGUAUAUGUGUGUGUCUGAGUGUGAGAAUGAGUGUGAGUGUGAGUGUGAGUGUGAGUGAGUGUGAGUGAGUGUGAGAGUGAGAGUGAGUGUGAAUGUGAAUGUGAGUGUGAGUGUGUGUGUAUGUGGUGAGUGUUAAGAAAAAGUUACUUAAUACAAUUGCAAACCACAAGUAAUACUCUAGAAAAUUCACUCCAUAUUUGCAUGAAAGAAGAAAGAGUGUGUGUGUGUUAAGAAAAAGUUACUUAAUAAAGAAUGUGUGUGUGUUAAGAGUGUGUAUGUAUUAAGAAAAAGUUUCUUAAUAAAAUUGCAAACCACAAGUAAAGUUUCAGAAAAUUCACUCCAUUUUUGCAUGAAAGAAGCAAGAUAAGUACUAUACUUGAGAAGGGUGCAUGUGCAUGCGCAUAUUAAUGUAUAUAUAACUGAUAGUUAGUUUAUACAUACACGUAUAAACAUAUCAGUAUAUACAUAUAAUAUAUAGACACACUGUAUAUAUAUAUUUAUAUAUAAACUGUUAAUAUAUGUUUAUAUGGUCAUAUAUUUCAGUGUAUAUAGAAUGCAUGUAUAAGUGUAUGCAUACACAAUAUAUACGCACUUAUCAACGCGUAUGGGUGCAUGUAUGAGCACAUAUCAGUAUAUAUAUAUAUUGAUAAUUGUAUAUAUAUAUAUUGAUAAUUGUAUACAACUGAUAGCAAGCAACUGUAUACAUACACGUAUAAACUUAUCAAUAUAUAUAUCUCGUAUAUAUACACACAACAGUCCAUACACAACACGCAUAUAUGUGUAGUAUAUAUCUGAGUGAGUGUAACUGUACAGUGACUGUGACUGUGAGUGUGAGUUGAGUGUGAGUGUGUGCAUGAGUGUGAGGGUGCGUGAGUGUGUGUGUGUGAGUGUGUGUGUGAGUGUGAGUGUGUGAAUGUGGGAGUGUGAGUCUAUGUGAGUGUGAGUGAGCAUGAGUAUGAGUGUGUGUGUGUGUGUGAGUAUGAGUGUGUGUGUGUGUGAGUGUGAGUGUGAAUGUGAGUGUGUGUGUCAUUGUGAGUGUGAGUGUGAGUGCGGGUAUUAGUAUGAGUGUGAGUGUGUGAGCUUGUGUGUGAACGAGUGUAAUUGUGAGUGUGUGCGUGAGUGUGAGUGUGAGUGAGUGAGUGAGAGUGAGAGUGAGUGUGUGUGUGUAUGAGUAUGAGUGUGAGUGUGAGUGUGUAUGGUGUGUGAGUGUGGGUGUGUGUGAGUGCGAGUGUGAAUGUGAGUGAGUGUGAGUGUGUGUGUGAGUGUGGGUGUGUGAGUGUGUAUGUGGGUGUGGGUGUGGGUGUGAGUGCGAGUGUAUGAGUGAGAGUGUGAGUGUGUGUGUGCGAGAGUGUGUGUGUGUGUGUGCUUUUGUGAGGGUGUGUGAGUGUGUGUGCGUAUGUGAGUGUGUUUGUGAGUGUGUGUGGUGUGUGUGUGUGCCUGUGUUAAGAAAAAGUUACUUAAUAAAAUUGGAAACCAAUAGUAAUGCUCCAAAAAAUUCACUCCAUAGUUGCAUGAAAGAAGUAAGAGUAUGUGUGUGUUAAGAACAAGUAACUUAAUAAAAUUGCAAACCACCAGUAAAGCUCCAGAAUAUUCACUUCAUAUUUGCAUCAAAGAAGCAAGAGUUUGUGUGUGUUAAGAAAAAGUUAAUAAAAUUGCAAACCACAAGAAAAGCUCCUGAAAUUUUACUCCAUAUUUGCAUGAAAGAAGAAAGAGCGGUAGUAUAGCGGUAGUAUACUAGAGAAAAAAGAACCAUUAAGCAAAUCAAGAUUGCAGGAUCAAGAUCUCGUAUAUUGAAUAACGUAAAGAGAUCCAACUCUAUGAUAACUUACUUUCAUGGUUGUUGAUUUAUGAGAAAACUCGAUGAAAAAAAAUUUACAUGGACUAUCACAAUUGGGUAUUUAGCAUACCCGAUUCAUCAAGAGAAGAAACCCAUUCUUAUGCCUAAUUCUAUACAAAGUAAUAUGGAAUUUCGCAAGGCAUAUCAGAUUAGAGGUGAUAGUAUAUAUAUUUGUGAGUAUCAGUGUGAUUGUGAGUGAGUGUGAGUGUGAAUGCGUGUGUGUAGUAUAAAAAUCAGUGUACGUAUACGUCAAUAAAGGCAUAAACUGUAUAAACUGAUAACAUUCGCUAAUAACUGUAUGAACUGAUAAUAA
rnacentral:lncRNA from 1 species